GGCCUCGUAACUCAGUGGUUCGAGCACUGGCCUUGUAAACCAGGGGUUGUGAGUUCAAUUCUCACUGAGGCCU